rnacentral:rRNA from 1 species
UUGAUCUUAAUAGGUCAUCCGGGUGUUGGAUAUCCCGGUUUAGGCAGAUGUAGGCGACAGGUAGGCAAAUCCGCCUGUCAUAUACCGAGGCUGCCGAUCGAGCGAGCUUGCUCGCGAAGUGAUUGAACGAGGUUCCAGGAAAAGCCACUAAGCUUCAGCUACACACGACCGUACCGCAAACCGACACUGGUGCGCGAGAUGAGUAUUCUAAGGCGCUUGAGAGAACUCGGGAGAAGGAACUCGGCAAAUUGACACCGUAACUUCGGAAGAAGGUGUGCCCUAUUAGUGUGAAGUGAACAACGGAGCAUGAAUGGGUUGCAAAAAAUCGGUGGCUGCGACUGUUUAUUAAAAACACAGCACUCUGCAAACACGAAAGUGGACGUAUAGGGUGUGACGCCUGCCCGGUGCUGGAAGAUUAAAUGAUGGGGUGCAAGCUCUUGAUUGAAGUCCCAGUAAACGGCGGCCGUAACGAUAACGGUCCUAAGGUAGCGAAAUUCCUUGUCGGGUAAGUUCCGACCUGCACGAAUGGCGUAACGAUGGCCACACUGUCUCCUCCCGAGACUCAGCGAAGUUGAAAUGUUUGUGAGGAUGCAAUCUCCCCGCGGAAAGACGGAAAGACCCCAUGAACCUUUACUGUAGCUUUGUAUUGGACUUUGAACAGAUCUGUGUAGGAUAGGUGGGAGGCUUUGAAGCAGGGUCGCUAGAUCUUGUGGAGCCAACGUUGAAAUACCACCCUGGUGUGUUUGAGGUUCUAACCUAGGUCCAUUAUCUGGAUCGGGGACAGUGCAUGGUAGGCAGUUUGACUGGGGCGGUCUCCUCCCAAAGCGUAACGGAGGAGUUCGAAGGUACGCUAGUUACGGUCGGACAUCGUGACGAUAGUGCAAUGGCAUAAGCGUGCUUAACAGCGAGACUGACAAGUCGAGCAGAUGCGAAAGCAGGACAUAGUGAUCCGGUGGUUCUGUAUGGAAGGGCCAUCGCUCAACGGAUAAAAGGUACUCUGGGGAUAACAGGCUGAUACCGCCCAAGAGUUCAUAUCGACGGCGGUGUUUGGCACCUCGAUGUCGGCUCAUCUCAUCCUGGGGCUGUAGCCGGUCCCAAGGGUAUGGCUGUUCGCCAUUUAAAGAGGUACGUGAGCUGGGUUUAAAACGUCGUGAGACAGUUUGGUCCCUAUCUUCCGUGGGCGCUGCAGAUUUGAGGAAGCCUGCUCCUAGUACGAGAGGACCGGAGUGGACGCACCUCUGGUGUAUCGGUUGUCACGCCAGUGGCAUUGCCGAGUAGCUAUGUGCGGAAGAGAUAACCGCUGAAAGCAUCUAAGCGGGAAACUCGUUCCAAGAUGAGAUCUGCCGGGGCCUUGAGCCCCCUAAAGAGUCGUUCAAGACCAGGACGUUGAUAGGUCGGGUGUGGAAGCGCAGUAAUGCGUUAAGCUAACCGAUACUAAUUGCUCGUGCGGCUUGACCCC